rnacentral:rRNA from 1 species
GACGAACGCUGGCGGCGUGCUUAACACAUGCAAGUCGAGCGGAAAGGCCCUUUCGGGGGUACUCGAGCGGCGAACGGGUGAGUAACACGUGAGUAAUCUGCCCUUGGCUUCGGGAUAGCCACCGGAAACGGUGAUUAAUACCGGAUACGACACAUCACUGCAUGGUGCGUGUGUGGAAAGUUUUUUCGGCCAGGGAUGUGCUCGCGGCCUAUCAGCUUGUUGGUGGGGUAAUGGCCUACCAAGGCUUCGACGGGUAGCCGGCCUGAGAGGGUGACCGGCCACACUGGGACUGAGACACGGCCCAGACUCCUACGGGAGGCAGCAGUGGGGAAUAUUGGACAAUGGGCGGAAGCCUGAUCCAGCAACGCCGCGUGAGGGAUGACGGCCUUCGGGUUGUAAACCUCUUUCAGCACAGACGAAGCGCAAGUGACGGUAUGUGCAGAAGAAGGACCGGCCAACUACGUGCCAGCCGCCGCCGUAAAAC